rnacentral:rRNA from 1 species
AACGAACGCUGGCGGCAUGCCUAAUACAUGCAAGUCGAGCGAACACUUCGGUGUUAGUGGCGCACGGGUGCGUAACGCGUGGGAAUCUACCCUUGGGUUCGGAAUAACAGUUAGAAAUGACUGCUAAUACCGGAUGAUGACGUAAGUCCAAAGAUUUAUCGCCCAAGGAUGAGCCCGCGUAAGAUUAGCUAGUUGGUAAGGUAAAGGCUUACCAAGGCUACGAUCUUUAGCUGGUCUGAGAGGAUGAUCAGCCACACUGGGACUGAGACACGGCCCAGACUCCUACGGGAGGCAGCAGUAGGGAAUAUUGGACAAUGGGGGCAACCCUGAUCCAGCAAUGCCGCGUGAGUGAUGAAGGCCUUAGGGUUGUAAAGCUCUUUUACCCGAGAUGAUAAUGACAGUAUCGGGAGAAUAAGCUCCGGCUAACUCCGUG